rnacentral:rRNA from 2 species
UACGUAUGGUGCGAACGUUGUUCGGAAUCACUGGGCAUAAAGAGCACGUAGGCGGUUGAGCAAGUCCAUUGUGAAAUCCCCCGGCUUAACCGGGGAACCGCAGUGGAUACUACUUGACUUGAGUACAGGAGGGGAGAGUGGAAUUCCAGGUGGAGCGGUGAAAUGCGUAGAUAUCUGGAGGAACGCCGGUGGCGAAAGCGACUCUCUGGUCUGUAACUGACGCUGAGGUGCGAAAGCUAGGGGAGCAAACGGG